rnacentral:rRNA from 1 species
AUUGAACGCUGGCGGCAGGCUUAACACAUGCAAGUCGAGCGAGCGGCGGACGGGUGAGUAAUGUCUGGGAAACUGCCUGAUGGAGGGGGAUAACUACUGGAAACGGUAGCUAAUACCGCAUACCAUCAGAUGUGCCCAGAUGGGAUUAGCUAGUAGGUGGGGUAAUGGCUCACCUAGGCGACGAUCCCUAGCUGGUCUGAGAGGAUGACCAGCCACACUGGAACUGAGACACGGCCCAGACUCCUACGGGAGGCAGCAGUGGGGAAUUUUGGACAAUGGGGGAAACCCUGAUCCAGCCAUCCCGCGUGUGCGAUGAAGGCCUUCGGGUUGUAAAGCACUUUUGGCAGGAAAGCGGUACCUGCAGAAGAAGCACCGGCUAACUCCGUGCCAGCAGCCGCGGUAAUAC